rnacentral:rRNA from 1 species
UACGUAGGGGGCAAGCGUUGUCCGGAUUCAUUGGGCGUAAAGGGUGCGUAGGCGGCGCGGUAAGUCGGGUGUGAAAUCUCGGGGCUUAACUCCGAAACCGCAUUCGAUACUGCCGUGCUUGAGGACUGGAGAGGAGACUGGAAUUUACGGUGUAGCGGUGAAAUGCGUAGAUAUCGUAAGGAAGACCAGUGGCGAAGGCGGGUCUCUGGACAGUUCCUGACGCUGAGGCACGAAGGCCAGGGGAGCAAACGGG